GAUGAACGCUGGCGGCGUGCCUAAUACAUGCAAGUCGAGCGAAUGGGUUAAGAGCUUGCUCUUAUGAAGUUAGCGGCGGACGGGUGAGUAACACGUGGGUAACCUGCCCAUAAGACUGGGAUAACUCCGGGAAACCGGGGCUAAUACCGGAUAACAUUUUGAACCGCAUGGUUCGAAAUUGAAAGGCGGCUUCGGCUGUCACUUAUGGAUGGACCCGCGUCGCAUUAGCUAGUUGGUGAGGUAACGGCUCACCAAGGCAACGAUGCGAAGCCGACCGGAGAGGGUGAGCGGCAACACUGGGACUGAGACACGGCCCAGCCUCCUACGGGAGGCAGCAGUAGGGAAUCUUCCGCAAUGGACGAAAGUCUGACGGAGCAACGCCGCGUGAGUGAUGAAGGCUUUCGGGUCGUAAAACUCUGUUGUUAGGGAAGAACAAGUGCUAGUUGAAUAAGCUGGCACCUUGACGGUACCUAACCAGAAAGCCACGGCUAACUACGUGCCAGCAGCCGCGGUAA
rnacentral:rRNA from 1 species